GUCUGGGGCUUUCUCAGGAGAGACAAACAUCUCACCUUUCCAACCUUAUCACCGUCUCAGCCACUGAAGCAGCCUGGAUUUAAUCAGGCUCAGAAAAAGAAGAAAGGGCCUUCUGUAGAGAACCAAGGAACAGAAGGCUCGUUGCGUACCCCCAGCAAUGGGAGGUGCACAGGAUUGGAAAUCAGGAAACCUGGAUUCUAAUCCAAGAACCACCAUGAGCCAGCUGUGCGACCUUGGAGAGGCAGCUCAGGGUACUGAAUAGCAAGCUGGCCUCCAAGUCAAGAAGAUUCUGGUCCAUGCUGAUUGUGUGACCCUGGGCAAGUCACAACCUCUCCGGACCCUGGGCAACUCUCCAGACAAAUAAAUUGCUGAGCAGGUGUCCAUCUGCAUUAGGAAAGGAAGUUCUCCACUGGGAGUUCCCCACUCUGAACCUGUGAAAUCACAGCCUUUCAUAAGAAAUCCAAGUGGCCUCAGUUCAUCAUCGGACCCCAUGGUAGAGAGUUCCACAAUUUUGACCUUCUAUCUCCCACUUCCAAACAUUUUCAAAUGCCUUCAAUAUCUUCCCUCCUCCAUCUCUCUGAAUCCCUGUGUAAUAAGGAUUUGAGAAAGUCUUCACCCAGCCUUGUCCCCACCAUUAUACAUACCCCUUCUCCACCCCACCCCCUUCUUUCCACCUCAUUUUCCAACUCUAGCUCCCUUCUAUAUGUUAUCUACCCCCAUUAUAAUGUAAGCUCCUUGAGGGCAAGGAUUGUCUUGAUUGCUUGUAAUUGUAUCCCUAGUUCUUAGAACCAUGCCUGAUAUAUAAUAAAUGUUUAAU